rnacentral:lncRNA from 1 species
UUCUCAUUUCAGGAGAGUGAGCUCUCAACAGGGUCUACUAAAGAGAAAGCAGAGGGUAACAAAUUGUCAGCUUGUCUCCAAAGCAGUGUGAGAGUAUUCUAAUUUUGAUGAACCAUCCCAGAAAUAGUUUGAAGAGAAGUAUGUAGGUAUUUCAACAGACUUAUUGGAAGUACUCAAGGGCAUUCAACUCUCAUUUUUCUAAUUCUGGGAUCAUGCUGCUGAGGUAUAAAUUUAUGGCUAACUGAUUUAUAAAUUAACUAGAACAUCCUGUGCAAAGAUUUGGUUCUUUAGCCAAAUACAGACUAGGCACUGGUUCAUAAAUUAAUCCCUCUUAGGUGGCUGGUGUCACUUCCCAGAAGCAUGAUAACUGUGGCACAAAUAGAACCAGAAUGGCCAGGUGUGGUGGUGCAUGACUGCAGUCCCAGAUUCCUGGGAAGCUGAUGUGGGAGGAUUGCUUGAAUCCAUGAGUUCUGGGCUGUAGUGUGCUAUGCCAGUUGGGUGUCUGCACUAAGCUCAGCAUCAAUAUGGUGGCCUCCUUGGAGCAAAUCACCAGGUUGCCUAAGGAGGGCUAAACGGGUCCAGGUUGGAAAUGGAGCAGGUCAAAACUCCUAUGCUGAUUAGUAGUGGGACCAUGCCUGUGAAUAGCUACUGCACUCAAGCCUGGGCAAUAAGCAAGACCCUGUCUUGGAAAAAAAAAUAUACCCGGAAUGCAGUAUUUCUAGAUUUAUAGAACACCAUCAUGGUUUUGAUAAUAACUGGUGAAGCCCAGCCUGGGAAGCAAGAUAACUAGCCUCAUUCUUUCUAAAAACACUUCUUUGCUGCAUUAAUAACCAACAGAGGAAUUCAACUCCUUGGAACCUUCCUUCCAGGAUGCAUACAGGUGAUGGUGUAGUGAUACCUGUGAAUUGCAACAUGACUUUUUCAGUCUCAGUACUGUAUCUAGUUCAUGGUAUAAUCUUGGGAAUGUUAAGGAUGCAACUGGGAGCUUCACUAAGUCCUCUGGAUUCCCUGGCUACCACUAAGCAUACUAAGACAUAGCCUAAUUGUCCCAAAGAAUUAACAGAGUUGGGUUUCAAUCAAACCUGUCACCAUUGUUUUAAAUUAUGGGCUCUAAUAGAGCUGGCAUUGGAACUUGAAAAGAAACUCAUGUAAUUAUAUUCUUCUAAUGAUAUAGCAAAUGAAUUUUUGCUUUUAGAAAAAAUAUUGGGUAGUGAAGAGCCACAUUCUUUUUUAUCCACCUAAACUGAUUACACACACUUAGCAAUGGAACAAAAAAUUA